ensembl:lincRNA
UGUAGGGGAAGCUGUAGCCACGCCUUCUUAGGGGCUGGCUACAAGAGUACCUGAGGGCUUGUGAGGGCGUGGUCAGAGUGAGUAGGGGGACUGCGUUUUCGGUUUCGGUUUCUCUUUGCUUCUUGCUGUACAGACUACCACCGGCUGGCUGGUUCGCUCUGUAAGUAAGGCUUUUCCCUAUUAAAUACCCUUAUAUUUCUACCUGACUCCGUAUUGGUAAUUUCUUACUAUAGAAGGGAAAUUUAAUAAGGACACUGUUUCUUCAAUUUUAAGCUUGCUUUAGAAGCUCCUUUUAAAAUCUAUUUCUAUGUUUGAAUGUUCCUGUAAACAAUUCUUCUACCUUUCUGCUUACAUCAAGUCUAACAUCUUUCACUCUUCUCAAAUCCCUUGCAUUUGUACUGUACAAUGCUUACCAGGGUUGAGGUUUUUCCACUGUGCAUUUUCAGUAUGAUUAAUUUGUAUGCUUGUCUGCCUGUGGAUGUGGUUUUUUCUCAUUGCAUCUCUACUGAUGAAGUAGCAACUAUAUGGUUUGCUGGUUAUAUUGAAAGACCCACCCUUAGCUCUUUCUCUUAAGUUUGCCUCCUCCUCCGGUCGGCGGCUGGCUGGGCGCGCGAGGAUGCAUCCUCCCCUGCACCUCCCGCCCCCUGAGCCCCACCUCUGCCNNNNNNNNNNNNNNNNNNNNNNNNNNNNNNNNNNNNNNNNNNNNNNNNNNNNNCCCCGAUGGGGCUCGCGUCCCCGGCACGCCUGCCUGGCACCGCGCCCCCGCUUGAUGGGGAACACUCCGACCCAAGGUCAGCCAUCUGGACUCGGAAGAAGGAGAAGCACCUGUAACCUUUGUGAAGUCACAAAAUUUGUGUAAACCUGAUUCAGUAGCCACUGCAUUCAAUGAGGAGUUCCUAAUACUUCAUGCAACUUUGUAUGCUCAGUUCACAAAAUUCAAUCAAUAAUUAUGUGCAAACAUCAGACUUCAUUUGAAAACAGAAUGGUCUAUGAUCCACUGGAAAUGAAAGAGACUUAUCAUGCCUUGGUCUCUUAAGUAUUAACAACAUCUUUCUUCUGCAGUUGAUCUUCAUGUCAAACAUUAUAGGAAAGAGAACUGUGCCUUAUUAAUCACAGCCCUCCCUGAAUUGCUUCCAUAUAUAAAUUCUGCCCUUUGUGUUGACAAUUAUAUUUGCUAUUAUGAUACUGUGAGGCAGAUAGUACUUGGAAGCUCUCAGGUGGUCUUGGUGUUUUUGUUGAAAUUUAAUAACUAUCUUCAGGUAAAUGAUAAAUGUCACACUGGGUUGAAGAACUACCUAGUUGAAUACAAUACUGUCCUUCCUGAAGGGAAUUCCUUGCAGAAGACAGACGGUGCCUGAGUGACCCUGAAUGUGCUUUAUUGCAUAGUAUUUUUAGUGACUGCAACUGAGAUACUAAGACAAGGUCAACCAGAAAAAUACUUUUUAUAAUAAAAUUUUGUUUUGUCAUUUUGGUUAGUGUCAUUGGACAUAACUAUAAAGAGAUAACUGUACAAAAUUUAUUGUGUAACAAAACAUGAUUCCUGUGUAGAAGAUGGAUUAAUUUUGUACAGUGAAAUAACAUUCCCAGUGUUUUAAACAAGACACAGUUGAUGAAUAAACUUGGAAGAACUAAAUGAGUACUUGAAGCUCCAACGCCCACCUCUUGCUAUUUUCUUCCUAUCUGACUACUUCUUUCUCUACUGAAUAAAUGCUUUUUUUUGAAAACUGAACUCUGUGGUUCAUAAGGUUGUCUCUGUCCUUUCCCUAGGAGAAAUUUGAUUUAAACAAAUUAAAUUUCUUCCACUCUCUAAAUUGAACAAGGCAGGAUUCUCUUCCCCGUAUCUCUCACUUCUAUGCUGAAGUAAAAUGAAGACCCAAGUAUAAUUGGCAAUUAAUAACUUCAGAUUCUAUUAUGGAACUCUUGUUACAAAAUUCAUCUGUGCAAAAUUAUAUAAGAGCAUGCCUAGGUUACUGUGAGAAAAACUGGGCCUUUCCUACAGACAUAAAAAUGUCACAAUGGCAUUAAAGCUGUAGGCUUUGACCUUGGAUUGUCUGACCCUAGGCCACCUGUCCUUUGUCCCCAUUUUUCACAGGCUAGAAUAGACCAAUACAUAAUGAUGUGUCCUGAGGAACUUAUACUUCUACCUGACAUAAGCUUGCCCUGCAGCUGCCUAAAUAUUUUGCUUCUGCAAACACCUUGCUUUU